rnacentral:rRNA from 1 species
UACAGAGGUCCCAAGCGUUGUUCGGAUUCAUUGGGCGUAAAGAGCGUGUAGGCGGUCCGGUAAGUCGGCUGUGAAAGUCCAGGGCUCAACCCUGGGAUGCCGGUCGAUACUGCCGGACUAGAGUUCGGAAGAGGCGAGUGGAAUUCCCGGUGUAGCGGUGAAAUGCGCAGAUAUCGGGAGGAACACCUAUGGCGAAGGCAGCUCGCUGGGACGUUACUGACGCUGAGACGCGAAAGCGUGGGGAGCAAACAGG